GAGGCAGAGGCAGGAGGAUCUUUGUGAGUAAAAGGCCAGUUUGGUCUACAGAGUGAGUUCCAGGACAGCCAGAGUUCUAUAGUGUGGAUAGUUAAUACAAUGUAAGUAUUUGGACAAUUAGGGUAGGGGAUAAUGAAAUCUUCAUCUAUUAAAAGUGGGAGCCUACAGGGGCUGGAGAGGUGUCUCAGAGGUUAAGGGCAGCCAGGUUCAGUUGUCAGCAUUCAUAUGAUAGGAUGUAACCAUCCAUAACUUCACCCCUAGGAGAUGGAUACCCUCUUCUGCCUUCUGAGGAUACCGGCAUGCACAGGGCACACAUGAAAGCAAGAUAAACAUAUACAAUAGAUUCAGUUUAAGACUAGGAAGCCCACAAUAUCAGGAAAUAUCAGUAUACCACUUUUGUCCUUACAUUAUCUGCUAAUAAUUUUAGUAGGGGGCUUUCACUAAGGUCCAUGAGAAACACCUGUUUAUCGCUUUCUUGACUUGAAAUGCCUUUAUCUUAUUUUUGCAUCAGGAGAGAGUUGACUCAGAAAAUGACUUGGGAAAUGUUUCUUUUGUGUUUUCACGGAGUUGAAUAGGGCUGUUAUUUCCUCCUUGUGCAUUCGAUAGACUUCACAAAUAAAAUAUUUGAAUAUUAGAGUGUAACUUAGCAUGGUUAUAGGGAAAAUGUGUAACAGUUCACAUCUUGGUGGCAAAGUAAAUCUGUUUGGUUUGGAAAAAUGUACACCCUAGAAGCUUAGCUCAAGAACUUCUAAAUUGAAAUAGAGAAAAAAGAAAACUUAUUUGUAGGGAAAAUUUACAGUAGAAUUAUUUACCAGGCCAAAUGCUGACAACUUCUUGGAUAUUCAGUGACGGAGGGAUGUCUAGAAAUAAUGUAACUUAUUGUAAUGACAUAUUAAUAGUAGGUCUAAGGGUUAUAUUCCUGUGUAUAGAAAAGACAUAUGAGAGUGUACUAGUGAAGUGCAGAACUCAUUCCACAACACAGGGCGUGCUCUGCUUUCUCGACAGGGUGGCUGGCGGAUCGGCUGCUGCGGCCAUGGUCUAAGGCCCUCCGGACACCUGGACAGUAUCCAUGGCACCACAACAAGGUGAGUGCCAAGCAAAUCACCCAGCCCGGAACAGAACAUCAGAGGAGCAACUUUCUCAUACGUGUAUAAACUGUGUCUGCUGGCUUAGUGCUAGUCAAUUUAUAAAGAAAAUUAGUUUAUAAUCUUCAUGAGGAGAAACUAACUGGGGAGGGGUGGGGCAGGCAUGACUGCCCUUGUCAGGCUGAGGCACUUGGGCUGUGUCCACGCCCACUUCUGGAGAGAGCCAUGUCAGUAGAUAACAUGCCUUCAAUCGUAAAUAGCAAGUUACUCUAUACGGGGUAUCUUUGCCCCCACUCCCUUCUCUGUUAUCAUGGUUAAUUGUGUCAACUUGACUGCAUUGAGGGGACCCCAAGAAACUAGUGAAGCAUACCCUUGGCUCUGCCUGUGAGGGCUUUUCCAGUGACAACGAGAUCACAAAGCCUGACCUAAUGAAUGGAUGGUUUCAUCGAUUGAUGGGUUCAAGCUUUGAGUGAACUACUGGAGAAGAAAGUGUCUCCUCUGUGCUUGACCCUGCUCAUCCCCAGUGACCCUGUCCCCUAUUCUGGAGGAAAUGAGUGCGUCACAGAUAAGCCAAGAAGAAUCUCGACAGACAAGUCUUGCUGAGUUCCCCAUGCAGUCAGUUAGCAACCACGGCUUCUCACCGGAGUCCACGUAAGAACCCAAAAGGACUGCAGCCUCUGGAGAGUUGGCAGAGAGACAGACUUGUGGGUCUUCCUACAGAGGGUGCGGACUCCACACACCCUUUCUCAUACUUUACUGUGACUGUCCUUUCAUCUGUAUCCUUUGUAAUAAAGCAGCAGAUGUGA
rnacentral:sRNA from 1 species